rnacentral:rRNA from 1 species
GAAAUGCGUAGAUAUGUGGAAGAACACCAGUGGCGAAAGCGGCUUGCUAGAUCGUAACUGACGUUGAGGCUCGAAAGUAUGGGUAGCAAACGGGAUUAGAUACCCCGGUAGUCCAUACCGUAAACGAUGGGUGCUAGUUGUUAAGAGGUUUCCGCCUCCUAGUGACGUAGCAAACGCAUUAAGCACCCCGCCUGAGGAGUACGGCCGCAAGGCUAAAACUUAAAGGAAUUGACGGGGACCCGCACAAGCGGUGGAGCAUGUGGUUUAAUUCGAAGAUACGCGAAAAACCUUACCAGGUCUUGACAUACCAAUGAUCGCUUUUGUAAUGAAAGCUUUUCUUCGGAACAUUGGAUACAGGUGGUGCAUGGUCGUCGUCAGCUCGUGUCGUGAGAUGUUGGGUUAAGUCCCGCAACGAGCGCAACCCUUGUUAUUAGUUGCCAGCAUUUAGUUGGGCACUCUAAUGAGACUGCCGGUGAUAAACCGGAGGAAGGUGGGGACGACGUCAGAUCAUCAUGCCCCUUAUGACCUGGGCAACACACG